UACGUAGGGUGCGAGCGUUAAUCGGAAUUACUGGGCGUAAAGCGUGCGCAGGCGGUUUUGUAAGCCAGAUGUGAAAUCCCCGGGCUCAACCUGGGAAUGGCAUUGGGACUGCAAGGCUGGAGUACGGCAGAGGAGACUGGAAUUCCUGGUGUAGCAGUGAAAUGCAUAGAUAUCGUCAAGAACACCGAUAGCGAAGGCAGCUUACUGGGCUGUAACUGACGCUGAUGCACGAAAAGUGUGGGGAUCAAACAGG
rnacentral:rRNA from 1 species